rnacentral:rRNA from 1 species
UACGUAGGCAGCGAGCGUUGUUCGGAGUUACUGGGCGUAAAGGGUGUGUAGGCGGUUCUUUAAGUUUAGUGUGAAAUCUCCCGGCUCAACCGGGAGGGUGCGCUGAAUACUGAGGGACUAGAGUACGGGAGAGGAAAGUGGAAUUCCUAGUGUAGCGGUGAAAUGCGUAGAUAUCAGGAGGAACACCGGUGGUGUAGACGGCUUUCUGGACCGUAACUGACGCUGAGACACGAAAAGCGUGGGAGCGAACAGG